UCCCAGGACUCCUCUUUCGGGCGAGAGAACUUGACAACAAAUGUCCAACAGUUUAGAGUUUGAAUCUCAAGCGACUUUGGGCUUUUUGGAUUUAUUGAUUGUAAAAAAUAUUGUCAGAUGGAACAAUAUGGCAGAAGUGUCAGGAUCUGCUUGUCUCUCUCGCCAUCUGUCUGUGGCUGCAAGAUAGUAUGUUCGGUACAAGGCGAAAGGUGUAGUUAUGAUGUUAGAUACAUACAAAUACUCAGUGCUCCCAGCUGCUGUCCCACUGCUUUGUGUCAACGCUUCGGCUCACGACAGUUUACGCUUCUUCUCUUUCUUUUUCUUGUCUUUCUGUGUCUCACUGUCUUUCUUAACUCUUUUUCUCUGACUCCUCCUCUUUCUGUUCCCCCUCUCUCGCUACAGCAUGUCCCUCCCUUCCUCUUUCUGUGUCUCUACGUCCCCCCCUCCUCCCCUCCUUUUUCUCUCCUUCCCUCUUGGCAGCAGUGCCAAAGUGGGCAGGCGGACCGAGGCAAACACAGCACAGGGCAGAGCAGAGGGCGAUACAAAGGCUGGCGAAUUGAUUAUGUGUGUGUUUGUGUUUUGAACUGUCCUGUGACUGUGUCUUCGCGUGUCUCCGUUUUGAUCAUACGCAACUGCACGUACUGUGAGUCUGUCGCGAGUCUGUUUUGGAGCUGUUCUCUUUUUUCUUGUGCACAGUGUGGUUGAUAGUGUGGCUUGUGUGUGUUUUCUGUGUGCGUGAGUGUGUGUAUGUGUGUUAUAGAGCUGUGUGUGAGCAGACGUCCCUCUGUCACCCUGUGUACGGACAGACGCACUCACGCCAGUAGGAGGGGAUUGUGGGAAGGGGGUGUAGCUCUCAGAGGGUGUGCUCUACUCCUCUCUUUUCCCUUCUUCCCGCCAUCACGGCCCUCUUCUCCUCCAGUCCUCCGGCCCAGCCCGCCGCUCACAUACAGGCUCCAGACUGGCAGGAGGAAGGACAGGCCUUCUUGGUUACUUUCUGACCUCAGAGUGUCGACCGAGCCAGAGAGCUGUUGUUGUGUUCAGGUCAGUAUAAGUUUAGCUGCUGACCAGUGUUGAAAAGCUGCACCCACAGGGCAAGUGAGGCGCUUGGCAGGUCUCUUAUCAUCCAGAGCCGUUAUGAUAGGUAAUACGAGGGCAAUAUUUACUUUGUUUCUCAUUCGCUUCACACACUGUUUGCACUUUCUGACUACGUGAAAACUAAGAUAGUUGCUUCACAGGAACAGGUGUGUUUAUACGUUAGAUUUAUCUUUCUGAGAUCCAGAGGUGUGACAGUUUGUUUAAAGGUGGUUUGUCUUGACACACUGCGUCAUCGGCUCCUGUAUAUGAUACUUAACACUACAGGAGGACACACAGGCAGAAAUGAAACUGAGUUAGGUCAAACAAACAGACAACGCUGUAAAGAAAAAUUGCAGUUUAAUGUUGUUGUUCCUCAGUCAUUCUUUCACAUUUUAUCAGUAAUGCUGUAGAUUUUUUUAUCACUAGUCUGACCUGCUGUUGAAAAAAAGAAAAAAAAAUAUAAACGUAAACAGUAGCAUUUAUCUGAUUGAUGUGUAUCUUAGUCAGCUGCAAGAAAAAAAAGCCUGUUAUUCAUAUUACACUGCUUAUUUUGAUUACGGACGCAUGUCAGAGGCCAGAAUGCCAUAAAACAAAAGCAAAAUAUCAAUGUUGUGCUUUAAUUAAACAGAAUAUGGAAAUUAACCAGCAACUGAUUCGAUUACUCAACGUACUUUUAGAGGGGAGAUUGAAUUUUAUGAAAUAUCUGCAUAUUGCCUGUACUAUUAGGACUCUAACUGGACUGCUUAUUGUCAGUACUGUAUCUUAAUCUAAAUAGGGGUUGGUGGUAAGAUGGCGCCUUCGUGCCACGUGUUUAAGAAACAGUGAAUAUGGGCAGACCCUUUCAACAUACCCCUCACAAUUCAUGGGUAAACUACUCCUAAUUCGUCUGCAUCAGCCUCUGUCACUUCAAAUCACUCAGCUUUGGCAUAAAGCGACAAAUUGUCUCAUAAAAAAGAACGAGGAGAACCUCUUUUUAAGCAUAUCGACAUGUGACAGUGAUGAGAGGAAAAUGUUGAGAAAGAAGAAGCUGGAGAAAAAUAGAGAGAACAAGGGUUACAGAGACAGAAAGAGAGGCAGGAGUGGGAGAGCUCUUUCCCCGCCCCUCUCUUAUCCUCAGAUGAACUUAUCGUGUUGCCUCAUAAUGUUUCUGAGUUUUUCUCCUAGAGGCAGUCAGGCUAACUUCCUGCAUUCAGCCUCAACAUAGCUGAUUGGUUGAUAUCUUGGCUGACCGGCUGCGUUUUGCAGCGAGGCAACAGGAAGUUUCUUUUCUCAUGCAGGAAGCUGCAGCUGUUUCGACCCGACAUACACCACUUUGCACUCUUGCACGCAUACUCUCUGUAUACAUGCACACAAAUAUGCACGCACACCCUCUUUGAAAGGGCAUACCUUUCCAAGUGUUUGUGUCUAGUGUGUUGUGUGCACGUAUGGCCUGCACUGUGUGACAUUAGUGAAUGCUAUAAUAUGUGGGCGUGUAGCAACAUGCCAGGCCAGGCAUCAGAGCUAUAAGAAACAUCUGAAACCAUGGUAACCACACAUCUCAUCAGCACAUUAGCAAAAGCAUAGACAAGUAAAAAAGAGGAGAGGGGAUAGAGAGAGUAGAUGAAGAGGAGGAAAGAAACCUUUGAUGUAUAUUUUCUUCAUUCAGGUCACUGGCCAUCUGUGUAGUUGGAGGGUAUAACUAACUCACCAUUGAUGGUCAGUGAUUGCUCACUUUUUUUUCUUUAUCAUAUAAUAACUCAUUCUCUUGAAUGAGUUGGAACCAGUUCAUGUGCAUAAAAAUACAUUUUUUAUUUUACAACAAACUAACCUAAGAAAUGCCGAAAUACGUAUAGAUCUAAAAUUUGAUCGUUUUUAUACUGAUUAUUCAACUUUGCUCCACUUCUCUGUGUGGGUAUCUAUGGGUGAAAUGAUUGCUGGACACUGUGAUAGUCAAUACAAUGGCUCCCUUAUACUCCAGCCUUAUCUGGGUCAUACUAUCGUUUCAUCAGACACAUUGCAUGUUUACCUAGCUCUUAGGCCUGUGAGUCCAGCAUUUGUGUGUGCAGCCCUCUAUCUCACAAAAGGGAGAAGCUGAUGGCAAAAGGACUGGAAGUAUUUUCAUUUAAUUACCAUUUAGUAAAUCAGGAUAAGAUAGGCUGAGCUUCUUUUGUGUUCACAGUUCAAGCAACUGUUGUGUGUGCAUGUGUGUGUGUGUGUGUGUGUGCAUGUGUGUGUGCGUGUGUUGUGUCUACCAGCGUGUGGUUGUAUGUAAGUACAUGCAUAUGGCAGCGUAUUUCAGUUCAGUACAGUACAUGUGAGCAUGAGCGCUGUGUGCUUGCGUUUGGUUAAUGAGGAUAUACAGAACAUCAGAGCGGGCAACAUGCCAAGUGGGCACGGAGAAGGCUCUGUGCUCCUGUCCUUCGUCCUUUAAUGUAGGAAAUCAGGCAUUCCUUAGGGAGCGGGGAAGGUGAAAAAGCUGGUACCAUUAAACAAAACCAUAGCGAUCUAUUGAGGAUCAGCCCUCUUUCUUGUGUUUGCCAGAUGCCCGGACACAAUUUUUCUGUGGAGUAAGACUGGACAUGAGUAAGAGGAGACAUCUGUUUGUAUCUUUUUGACUGUGGGAAUUCUUCAUCCUGCCAUUUAUUGUGUGGCAUACUUCCUCUUGCCAACUCCAGCUCGCCCACCGCUCCUCCUCUUUGCCCACCAUCACCACCUCCUUCCUCCCUCAUUGAAAUUCUGCCUGGCACACAGACACUGGCCAUUCUUGGCACAAAGCUCAGAGAGAGAGAGAGAGAGAGAGAGAGAAAGAGAGAGAGAGAGAGAGAGAGAGAGAGAGAGAAACACACAAGAACCUGUACCAAUCGUCUGGUGCCCCCUCCGUUGUGUCUGUGCCAAGCAUUCAUCCCGUCUCGCGGACCAAGGGACCAGGCAAUCCAAUAGGUAUUUCCCUGCCUCUGCUUCCUGCGAAAAUCUGCUCCAAUUCUGAGGAGUUUUGUUGGCAUCUGAGUGUGCUGUGUGUGUUUGGGGAUUUGCUAAUUAAUUUGUGUGUUUACGUCGUUUGCGUAUUGGGUGAGGAGCAAAUCCGAUGAAUCCUGCAUCCUUUCACAGUGUGAGAGGAAGCUAAGGCCUAUUGUUUCCACGAUAUUUUUCAAAUGAAUUUUCGCAUGGCUUGUUAUUUAUGCAUUCUUUUUGUGUAUUUUGAAAGCACAGCAGGUUUAUGUUGAUGUCGGAAGUUUGUGAAACUUGUAUAAUAAACACUGGUAAUUCAGUUUAGCUGCCAUUUUGAUAUUAUUCUCUCAACUUAUUCUAUAAUUGUGUUGUGGAGUUAGUGAAUAGUUUGACGGCUUGUCUUCAUUAUUUUAUGUGUGUUUCCUUUUUUUUUUAUAGUUGUGGCAGUGUCACAAAAUGAAUUUAUUUAAAACAAAUAUUUGAUGUUGAAGUUAAGUGCCAAACAUCUGCCUGAAACUUAUUGAAAAAGAUAAGACCGCCUGUGCUCAUAGCUGAGAAGACGUUUUGGAAUACCCAGAAGAAGCUAACUGUAACUGUCACCCAGAGAAAGAUUAACAUACUCAAGCAGGAAAUUGUCUCCAGAAAAACAUAUCCUGGUUGGUCACAGCAAAGCGGUGUUAUCAGAGGACAAGAGAGGACAAGGUCCACGUUUCUUGGCUUACAUAGAAUAGUGCUAAUGUGAAUUUACUACCAUUUAGCCAUAAUUCUGCUGUGACAGAUGCACAGACAGACUGUCUGAUAGGCAGAUGAGAUUAACUCAAUAGGCCACAUUUCUGCCUUUUCUUGUAUUUUCCUCAAGAUCCUCUCAGCUGCCCCACAGGCUUGAGAUGCAUUUAUUUUGGAGCUGUUGACAGAGAAAAUGAUUUGCCCCAGCAGAGCCAUGUGUGCCCCUUUUAUGUGCCAUAGACAAAGUCCAUGAUCACAGACAACAGCGCCCAGUGGAGCUCACAUGACUGAGUCUGGUUUCAGUGUUUCCAAAACAGUCGGGAGUUGUGCAGGGAAUGGGACAGCAAUUUUUGCAAUUAACCCAGAAGCACAGAAUUCCGCACAAUUCGUGUUUAUAUCUUUUUUCUUCAUUCGAGGCCAUGCUCACAUGUCCUGUUAAAUCUUCAUUACUUUGACCCAUUUCCCCCAGUGCACUGUGUUAUAUCAUUAUUAGUCUGUUGCCCUCGUCCUCCAAAUACAGCUCCAGUCAGGGGAUGUUUCUUGGCGACCAAACAGAGCUCGUAGAUCUGUCACUGGCAUGGUGGCAGAGUUGGGCAUCAUGCCAACGCACCCCCACCCCCUUCUGUCUGUCUGGUCUUCUGUAAUCAGGCUAGUAGGGUCUACUGCAUGCUAACUAUGGGCUGGUCUGGACCAAGUCUCAGGGGUUGUGGCUGUAUGCUAAUUUAUGCAACCAGUGUACCUCCUAACCCUUUUCUCUGUCUAUCUGAGGCCUAGGUCUGGCAUUUAGUCUGGCACACAUUAACCCUUCAGUCGCUGCCGUGUUAACCUGCAAGCCCGUCCCAACCCUUAUCCCAUAAGAGUACAGUGGCUGGAGGAUAAGCAACAUCUUUCAUGAUGAAAUUAACGGUACAAGGAAAAAUCACGGAGACACGGACAUGCUGUAUGUGAAGAUGCUUUUUCUGUGUGAACUUUCCAGCUGUCUGAUAAGAAAUGUUUUAGUUGCUCUCUCACUCAGUGCCUGUGACAGAGUGUGUCGUCUGGGUCUGUUGGCUUCGUCUCAGUGCUUGGCACAAGAUUGAUUCCUCAUCACACUCGAUAGAACAGCGGCUCCUUCUUCAUCAUGAGACAGCAGGCUCAGGGAAAAACCUGAAAGGUAGACCUUAUAGUGUUUUUAAGCAGACCUAAAAUGGCCGAUGCGCGAGACGCCAUUUUGUGUUUCCUUGUUGUGUUUUGGGGGGCAGAAUCCCAGCCUUGUAUUCAAUCAGAGGCAGCUGGUGGAAGCCAUAUUUGCAGGCAUCUGUGUGUGUACCUCCGUCUGACAAGCAGCAGCCAGCCUACACAGGGAUAGCCCACUGGAAUGAGCUCAGUUUUUGGCAAAAACGGAAACGAAUUCCUGGCACAGAGUCGAGCAGUUCUUUUUUUUCUCUCUCUCUUUCGAUCACAUGCCAGAGUCUAAGGAAGUCAGUGAGUUGUUUGGUGGGCUUUCACACAUUAGUACUCUCACUUUCCGAUGUCUGCUUACCGUUAAAUUAUUUGUCUUUGCUCCACUUUAAUGGAAUGGAUUUCCUAAAGACAUUCAGCUCUUCAACAACAACAAAAGCUUGGUCGAUCGGCGAGGAUGUGCCAAAAUGCAAAAUUUCCGUGGGUCUUCUUUUGUGAAGAGGUGGUAAAUGUUUCUCCAAAUCUUGGCAGGUGAAGACUUGUUGUCAUGAAGCACGAGCAGGUUUUGCCAUAAGUCAUGAUUUUGAAUCAUUUCCAGGAAGCGAUUUAAACGAAAACAAAGAAUCAGACACAGAGAUAAAACUGAAAAUAUAAUUACACUCCUUUCUGCGGAGAUUGAAUUUGAACACAAGUCCAAAAUGUUACGUAAAUAUACACGUCUAAAGCGACACUCCUAUCCAGCUUUAUCUUGCAUGUAUUUUACAGAAAAGACUAGUUAAUUAAGAUAACCCUCUCUGUCUCUUUUUCUUUGUGCCAUUGCAGGAGUUUUACCUUUGAGGAUCUUUUCUGCUGAAGCAACAUGGAUGCUGUCCUUGGGGCUGAGGUAGUAGAUUGAAUAGUUGUGGGGUUCUGUAACCUCUUUUUGAGAUAACUAUACAAUCUACUGUCUUUCCCAAGGAGACAGCUGAGUCAGCCACUCGCCGACUGUCAUCUCCAGAUGGGCAAACAUGCUGUCCAAUCAAAACAUAUGCUUGCAGCAAAUGAAAAUAAUGCAUUGUGACAGGCAUUGUUUGUUAUGUUUUUUUUUUUUUUUGUUUGCUAGAGUGGAAAAAUUAGGUGUCAUGCUCCCUAACAGGUGAACUUGUGGUUGGUGUGCUUGAUUUGGGCUCUGUCAGGGUGAGGUAGUAGGUUGUAUAGUUUGGUGGGUGGGAUUGCACCCUGCUCAGGUGAUAACUAUACAGUCUAUUGCCUUCCCUGAGGAGCUCCCUGAACACUCAUCAAUAUUGAACACACUCCCAAGGCUGAAAAUCACAUAUAUUCUCCGACAUCAUAAAAAAAAAAAAGGAUCAGGUACAUAUGUGCUGCAAAAGGAUUGGUGUUGAACUGAUUUCACCUGUCACAUGACUUGCUUUAAUAAAUGUACAUCUCAAUAAAGUUCUACUUGCCUCAAA